UAAGCAUAUCAAUAAGCGGAGGAAAAGAAACUAACAAGGAUUCCCUUAGUAACGGCGAGUGAAGAGGGAAGAGCUCAAAUUUGAAAUCUGGCAGUCUACGGCUGUCCGAGUUGUAAUCUAGAGAAGUGUUUUCCGUGCUGGACCGUGUACAAGUCCUUUGGAACAAGGCGUCAUAGAGGGUGAGAAUCCCGUCUACGACACGGACUACCAGUGCUCUGUGAUACACUCUCAACGAGUCGAGUUGUUUGGGAAUGCAGCUCAAAAUGGGUGGUAAAUUCCAUCUAAAGCUAAAUAUAGGCGAAAGACCGAUAGCGAACAAGUACCGUGAGGGAAAGAUGAAAAGCACUUUGGAAAGAGAGUUAAACAGUACGUGAAAUUGUUGAAAGGGAAACGCUUGAAGUCAGUCGCGUCUUCAGAAACUCAGCCUGGCUUCUGCCUGGUGUACUUUUCUGUUGGACGGGCCAGCAUCAGUUUUGGCCGCCAGAAAAAGGUGAGAGGAAGGUGGCACCCUCCGGGGUGUGUUAUAGCCUCUCAUCGUAUGUGGCGGCUGGGACUGAGGACCGCAGCACGCCUUCAAUGGCCGGGGUUCGCCCACGUUACGUGCUUAGGAUGCUGGCGUAAUGGCUUUAAACGACCCGUCUUGAAACACGGACCAAGGAGUCUAACAUGCCUGCGAGUAUUUGGGUGGCAAACCCAUAUGCGAAAUGAAAGUGAACGGUUGGGACUUCUGUCAUGGAAGGCACCGACGCCCGGACCAGACCUACUGUGACGGAUCCGAGGUAGAGCAUGUAUGUUGGGACCCGAAAGAUGGUGAACUAUGCCUGAGUAGGGUGAAGCCAGAGGAAACUCUGGUGGAGGCUCGUAGCGAUUCUGACGUGCAAAUCGAUCGUCGAACUUGGGUAUAGGGGCGAAAGACUAAUCGAAC
rnacentral:rRNA from 1 species